rnacentral:rRNA from 1 species
AUUGAACGCUGGCGGAAUGCUUUACACAUGCAAGUCGAACGGGAGUAGCAAUACUCUAGUGGCGAACGGGUGAGUAACACAUCGGAACGUACCCUGACGUGGGGGAUAACACAUCGAAAGGUGUGCUAAUACCGCAUACGUCCUGAGGGAGAAAGCGGGGGAUCGUAAGACCUCGCGCGUUUGGCGCGGCCGAUGGCGGAUUAGCUAGUUGGUGGGGUAAAGGCCUACCAAGGCGACGAUCCGUAGCUGGUCUGAGAGGACGACCAGCCACACUGGGACUGAGACACGGCCCAGACUCCUACGGGAGGCAGCAGUGGGGAACUUUGGACAAUGGGCGGAGGCCUGAUCCAGCCAUUCCGCGUGAGUGAAGAAGGCCUUCGGGUUGUAAAGCUCUUUCGGCAGGAACGAAACGGCUCUUUCUAAUACGGAGAGCUAAUGACGGUACCUGAAGAAGAAGCACCGGCUAACUACGUGCCAGCAGCCGCUGUAA